rnacentral:rRNA from 1 species
GACGAACGCUGGCGGCGUGCCUAAUACAUGCAAGUCGAGCGGACGGAUGGGAGCUUGCUCCCAGACCGUCAGCGGCGGACGGGUGAGUAACACGUGGGCAACCUGCCUGUAAGACUGGGAUAACUCCGGGAAACCGGGGCUAAUACCGGAUAACUCCUUCCCUCACAUGAGGGAAAGCUGAAAGAUGGCAUCUCGCUAUCACUUACAGAUGGGCCCGCGGCGCAUUAGCUAGUUGGUGAGGUAACGGCUCACCAAGGCGACGAUGCGUAGCCGACCUGAGAGGGUGAUCGGCCACACUGGGACUGAGACACGGCCCAGACUCCUACGGGAGGCAGCAGUAGGGAAUCUUCCGCAAUGGACGAAAGUCUGACGGAGCAACGCCGCGUGAGUGAUGAAGGUUUUCGGAUCGUAAAACUCUGUUGUCAGGGAAGAACAAGUACCGGAGUAACUGCCGGUACCUUGACGGUACCUGACCAGAAAGCCACGGCUAACUACGUG